AUGCCUUAAACUAAUGAGUAAGGAAAAUAACGAGCCUGGGUGAUUACAGGCUCCCAGACAUUCAGUUCUGGAAGAAUUUCUUUACGGGCUCAGGACCACCCCAAGGUGACCCACCUACUUCGUGGGAUGCCUGGGUGAUGGACUUGCCCU
rfam:Biomphalaria glabrata isolate BB02 unplaced genomic scaffold LGTN_random_Scaffold111, whole genome shotgun sequence.